CCAGCGAGAGAGCGUUGCCGCAGGCAACUACCCGAAGGGCGAAGCGCGCAGCGCUGAGUAAUCCUUCCCCCACCACCA
rnacentral:sRNA from 1 species